UGCUUCUGGAGACAAAGCAGAAUUUCAUUCUGAAAAUGUGUUCCUGUGAUUCUGUAAGGACUUAGUAUAAUCCAUACAGGCUAAGUAGUUAGUUGCUAAACUGCAAGCACCCAUCUCAUUUCAUCUCAGUCCAUUCCUGGCCAUCUGGUCCCCUGUCUUCCCAUUACAGAGCCAUGUGUGUAUUAAUGAAAUGAUUGCAUCCGAUUACAUCUUUUAUUCAGAGCACAAGAAGAGUCCGUGUGUUUUCUCCAGCAUCACUGUUUCUGUCAUGAUGUCGGUAAUUAAGUUAUUCUCUCUACUUCAGGCAGAGGUGGCAUGGUCUUCCAUUAAGAUUCUUGGCCCUGUCGUUUGAGUGAAGAUUUAUUCAUUUCCUGCUCUGUGCCAGGGGGAUACAAAAGCACCCAACCUAUUGCUGAGGUCAAGUUGCUCUGGUCUAAAGGUGGCCAAAGUGAGAAGCACAAAGAUAAAAAGCUGCCUCUCAAAAGAAGAAGCUAUGUCUACUUCACUCCAGGGAGCAGUAAGGAUUCCCGCUACAUCAGCUAAGUUUCUAACCCAGCU
ensembl:lncRNA